GCCUCGAUGGUGUAGUGGUCAACACGCACGCCUAUUAAUCAUGAGGGCGUGGGUUCAAUCCCAGCCGAAGUA
rnacentral:tRNA from 1 species